AGCGUAGGCGGAUUUUUAAGUGGGAUGUGAAAUACCCGGGCUUAACCUGGGUGCUGCAUUCCAAACUGGAAGUCUAGAGUGCAGGAGGGGAAAGCGGAAUUCCUAGUGUAGCGGUGAAAUGCGUAGAGAUUAGGAAGAACACCAGUGGCGAAGGCGGCUUUCUGGACUGUAACUGACGCUGAGGCUCGAAAGCGUGGGGAGCGAACA
rnacentral:rRNA from 1 species